GGGCCCGCACAAGCGGUGGAGCAUGUGGUUUAAUUCGAAGCAACGCGAAGAACCUUACCAGGGCUUGACAUCUGCCUGACGUAUGGUGGAAACACCAUACUUCCUUCGGGACGGGUAGACAGGUGGUGCAUGGUUGUCGUCAGCUCGUGUCGUGAGAUGUUGGGUUAAGUCCCGCAACGAGCGCAACCCUUGUUCUUAGUUGCCAACAUUUAGGGUGGGCACUCUAAGGAGACUGCCGGUGACAAACCGGAGGAAGGUGGGGAUGACGUCAAAUCCUCAUGCCCCUUAUGUUCUGGGCUACACACGUGCUACAAUGGCCGGUACAACGGGCAGCGACCCCGCGAGGGUGAGCCAAUCCCAAAAAGCCGGUCCCAGUUCGGAUUGCAGGCUGCAAUUCGCCUGCAUGAAGUCGGAAUCGCUAGUAAUUGCGGAUCAGCCAUGCCGCAGUGAAUACGUUCCCGGGCCUU
rnacentral:rRNA from 1 species